AAGUCGUAACAAGGUUUCCGUAGGUGAACCUGCGGAAGGAUCAUUAAAAAAUACCUUUACACACUGAUUUAGUAUUAGUACAACAAAUAACCACAACCAAUAUCAAUAAUUUUAAGUUAAUUACAACUUUCAACAACGGAUCUCUUGGUUCUC
rnacentral:misc_RNA from 1 species